UAAUACAGAGGGUGCGAGCGUUAAUCGGAAUUACUGGGCGUAAAGGGUGCGUAGGUGGUGGCAUAAGUUAGGUGUGAAAGUCCCGGGCUUAACCUGGGGAUUGCGCCUGAUACUGUGUCGCUAGAGUACUGUAGAGGAAGGUGGAAUUUCCAGUGUAGCGGUGAAAUGCGUAGAUAUUGGAAGGAACAUCGGUGGCGAAGGCGACCUUCUGGACAGAUACUGACACUGAGGCACGAAAGCAUGGGGAGCAAACAGGAUUAGAUACCCUGGUAGUCCAUGCCGUAAACGAUGAGAACUGGCUGUUGGGUGCCUUCGGGUACUUAGUAGCGAAGCUAACGCGUUAAGUUCUCCGCCUGGGGAGUACGGCCGCAAGGUUA
rnacentral:rRNA from 1 species